UACAGCAUGCAGGCUGGGGGCAGGGCAGACACCCUUCAAGACUGCUACCACACCCUGCUUUCUGGGUGAAUUCUGUCCUCUCAUUGUGAUCUUGCCUGGUGGCACCAAAGCAAGGUGAGGAGACUGAAGCUUAGUUAAGAAGCUUCCCAAGGUCACAUAAUUGGAAAUGAUUUUCCUAACCAGUGGUGUGACCAUGACAAAGAAGAAUAGUUCUGCUUUCAACUCAGAGAAAUAGUGGGG